GACGAACGCUGACGGCGUGCUUAACACAUGCAAGUCGAACGAAGAGCGACGGAAGCUUGCUUCUAUCAAUCUUAGUGGCGAACGGGUGAGUAACGCGUAAUCAACCUGCCCUUCAGAGGGGGACAACAGUUGGAAACGACUGCUAAUACCGCAUACGAUCUAACCUCGGCAUCGAGGAUAGAUGAAAGGUGGCCUCUACAUGUAAGCUAUCACUGAAGGAGGGGAUUGCGUCUGAUUAGCUAGUUGGAGGGGUAACGGCCCACCAAGGCGAUGAUCAGUAGCCGGUCUGAGAGGAUGAACGGCCACAUUGGGACUGAGACACGGCCCAGACUCCUACGGGAGGCAGCAGUGGGGAAUCUUCCGCAAUGGACGAAAGUCUGACGGAGCAACGCCGCGUGAGUGAUGACGGCCUUCGGGUUGUAAAGCUCUGUUAAUCGGGACGAAAGGCCUUCUUGCGAAUAGUGAGAAGGAUUGACGGUACCGGAAUAGAAAGCCACGGCUAACUACGUG
rnacentral:rRNA from 1 species